rnacentral:rRNA from 1 species
GGGUCAGUAGGUUGGUCGUGCCACCGGUACGUACUGGUCUCACUGAUUCCUCCUUCCUGAAGAACCGUAAUGCCAUUAAUCUGGUGUUGCGGGGAAACAGGACUGUUACUUUGAAAAAAUUAGAGUGUUUAAAGCAAGCUAACGCUUGGAUACAUUAGCAUGGAAUAAUGAAAUAGGACGAUCGAUCCUAUUUUGUUGGUUUCUAGGAUUGACGUA